CAACCUCUGGCGAAACUCGUGCAUGUUG
rnacentral:ncRNA from 1 species